rnacentral:tRNA from 1 species
GCCUGGGUGGCUCAGUCGGUUGAGCAUCCGACUUCAGCUCAGGUCACGAUCUCGCGGUUUGUGAGUUCGAGCCCCGCGUCAGGCU